rnacentral:rRNA from 1 species
AGGGCGGGGCUAUACAUGCAAGUCGACGCUUCUUUCCUCCCGAGUGCUUGCACUCAAUUGGAAAGAGGAGUGGCGGACGGGUGAGUAACACGUGGGUAACCUACCCAUCAGAGGGGGAUAACACUUGGAAACAGGUGCUAAUACCGCAUAACAGUUUAUGCCGCAUGGCAUAAGAGUGAAAGGCGCUUUCGGGUGUCGCUGAUGGAUGGACCCGCGGUGCAUUAGCUAGUUGGUGAGGUAACGGCUCACCAAGGCCACGAUGCAUAGCCGACCUGAGAGGGUGAUCGGCCACACUGGGACUGAGACACGGCCCAGACUCCUACGGGAGGCAGCAGUAGGGAAUCUUCGGCAAUGGACGAAAGUCUGACCGAGCAACGCCGCGUGAGUGAAGAAGGUUUUCGGAUCGUAAAACUCUGUUGUUAGAGAAGAACAAGGACGUUAGUAACUGAACGUCCCCUGACGGUAUCUAACCAGAAAGCCACGGCUAACUACGUGCCAGCAGCCGCGGUAAUACGUAGGUGGCAAGCGUUGUCCGGAUUUAUUGGGCGUAAAGCGAGCGCAGGCGGUUUCUUAAGUCUGAUGUGAAAGCCCCGGGCUCAACCGGGGGAGGGUCAUUGGAAACUGGGAGACUUGAGUACAGAAGAGGAGGAGUGGAAUUUCAUGUGUAGGCGGUGAAAUGCGUAGAUAUAUGGAGGGAACACCAGUGGGCGAAGGCGGCUCUUCUUGGGUCUGGUAACUGACGCUUGAAGGCUCGAAGCGUGGGGAAGCCACAGGAAUUGGUUCCUGGGUAGUCACCCCCCUAAACAGAUUGAGUGCUAAGUUGUUGGAGGGUUUCCGCUCUCAGUGCUCGCGGCAAAACACAAAUAAAGCACUCCUCCUGGGGAGACCACCGCCAAGGUUGACCAGAUUAUUCUGCUGCGGGAA